UCAUACGUGUAUAAUCCAUUUUUUAUGUAUGAUAAGUGUAUUUAUUACAUUCUUCUAUCUUUGAUAUGGUAUAUCAAUGGCGUUGAUUAAUUUUUAAAAGUUAUAACGUUUUUGUCCUUUUAAUGAUUUGGUAUCAAUCAACAAGAGCGAACUAUAUACAAUCAACGAUAAAUUCGAGUCGGAAGUGUUAAAAAUAAGGUAAAGUGUUACUAUCAUAUGUUAAAUGUCACUUACUAAUUUUCAAAAAAAUAAAUUUGAAUCACACUUAAUGAUGAUUAAAAUAAUCAGCGUUUUUAUGUUUAUUGUUAAUGUGCUGCAAUUUAUAAGAUAUUUAAAUGGUCAAAGAACUACUGUAUGUUCCAUGCAGUAGAUUAAGUUACAUUGCGCUCAUGUUUAAAAACAAUAGAAAACUUGAAAAAAAAACUUAAAUUAACCUGUUAAGAUAGUCUUGUGGUUACCUCGCAUGCAAUAAAAAUCGAGAGAAAUAUGUCGGACAAAUCGUUAUAGCGAUCAUGAAUAAUUGCAACCGGAAAAACACAAAACAUGCAAGAAAAAAAUGUUCGGGUCAAAGUUCAAGCCUCUUACAUGGGUGUUGUUUGCAAUUAUGAUCUUCGUAUCUAGAGAAAGGGAGAGAAUCGUGUUUAUUUUCGAAGAUGAAUUGUCUCCUAGUGCGUUUUACUCUUGUUUUAAAUAUUAUAGAAGUUUAUAUGUAUAGAUACUUGCAUUGUGGACAAUUUGUAGGUGAUGUUUAUAUCAAGAUUUGAUGGUUACCCUGACAAAGAUCAAAUAAUUCAUGUUAUGUGAGGUCGAAGAUCAGAUGUAAUAUCGAAAUAAUUCUCAACAGCGAAAUUAAGACAGAAAAAUCACGUACUUUGGUUACAAAAAAAACUGUAUUAUAAUUUUAUGUUUUCCCUCAAAACAUUAUGCUACAUAAUUGCGAAGAUAUUUCUUUUCUAGAAGUCCUAGACAUUCAGUCAAUACAUCUGUCACGUGACUAAAGAUUUACCAACACCUUAUGGUAUACAGAUAUUACAUAUAUUGAUUUCAUUAUUGGAAAUGAUUCUAGAUAUUCUGAAAAAUCUGUAUAAUUUGGUUGUUAUAACAUUGGUCCCUAUUUGAAAAAUAAGUAUAUGCUUUCAGCACAUUUCAUAUCAUAUCAUUCAUAUAGGUUUUAGAUAUAGAAGGAAUUCUUCCCGAGAGCAGCGAGUUAUUCUUUCCCUACUUGAAUGGUCACUGCUUCGCGAAAAGCUGUCAAAAUGAGACCAUAAUUUAUGUGACAGGGUCGAAAAGUUAUCACGGGUAGCUAUCGGUUGAAUAUUUAACCUGGAAACGCUAUAAUAGUCCAAUAUUAUAGGUGAACGGUACAGGUGCCGGUGGAUUUUUUGUAGACUUUUCUUAAAUAGUAAUAAUUGUAUCGAAUUUGCGAUAAUCAUAUUUUCAUAUCUGUUUUAUCAAUCAAUCCAGGGCUUGUGUCUAAAUAUAUCUAGAGAAUAUCUGCAAGGAAACUUAUUAAGGUUGUUCACAUAUUUGUGUGUCAAAUAAUUCUAAGCCAUAUUUAUAUUAAAGUGAGUUACAUGUAUAGUUCGUUGUACGGCAACCAUGGUGAUCCAUCUCCAUAUUUUAUCACUAAAUGAUACACUUGUAUUUAACACACACAAGUAUGUGAAUGGAAGGCUUUUAUUCCGUCCGUCAUGAUUUCAACCAACCAUCACUAUAUAAGUCUGUUUCAUUCAUAUAUUUUUGACUUUUUAUAGAAAUAUAAAGUUAUAUAUAUAAUGUGUGUAUGUAUUGUAAAUAUAUUUGGCAUUGUUCCAAACAGUGAUUGAUUCAUUCAAUCUACAUAGUUUUCAUUAGGUGUAUUAUGAUCCAUUGGUCGUGUGUCCAUCGUCUAUGUUUAAGUUUGGUCAAAUCUAAAUGAUGUUCUCUCUACUAAAGCUCAUUUUGAUAUGCGACCUGUUUACUAUUAUCACAGAUUGUCGACGUAAAAGGUAGUUAAAGAAAUAAAUAGAUAAACAGGUGAGCGAUACUGGUACCAUUGUUUUUUGGGUUUUUGUUUCGAAUUUUUAUUGGUGUCUUUUUUAUCUCUAUUAUAUUAAUUGUUGUGAUAUUGUAAUCAUAUUUGUUAGUCAUUUUAUGAACUGUUGAUGUGUUUUAAUGAACCCCGAGGCUGUGUUCAGUUCCACUGAUAGAACACCACAAAGUUUAAACCAGAGACCACUUUGGAAGACGGAUUAGUGAAAAGGGGCAGUUUAAGCCGGCCGUGGCCAUUUAAAAACCCAAGAAUACAAUUAUAUAAGUGUUGAAAUAAUUGAUUGCAUUGAUGAACUAAGUGCGACAAUCCUCCCUCGUGCACAUUCUGGGUACCAUGGGGAAGCAGCGGAGAGUGCACCAGCCUUUCACAAAGAUAACCGGGAUUUGAUUCAAGGACAUAUAAGAUGUGUCGCGACACGAAUGCUGAGAGGGAACCGAAUACUAAACCCGAACUGUGAUAUAAUAUCGGUGAACAAGACUGAAAACACAUUAGCAUAAGCCUUCAUUAAUGUUUUGCAUUGGUAUUCACCUUAAGUAGUAUUUCUGCAAACCGUGUGUGGGACGAUAGUUUCCCUUUCCGUGAGUCCGCUUGCGUUUUAUAACAUCUCUGAUAACUUUGAAUUUCAUGAAUGUUUGGUCCGGAUCUAUGUUAUCAUUACUAUUUUAUUUUUUAAUAUUUCUAGAUCUAGUUGCUUAUGUAAUUCCUUGACCAGUUUCCAUUGUAUUGUAACUGUUACGACAGCGGAUAUUUUGGAUCAUUUCUUGUUUUCGCUUCGAAGGAAAAUUGAUUGACCGGUCAAAAUUGGUGAUGAAUAUUAUAUUCACAGUGAGUUGGUAAUCCCUGUUUGUACAUUCAAAUGACUGUCCUAUGCAGUUUUGCGACUUAAAUGUUUUGGAAAAAUGGUUUUCUUGUCAACUGUUUCAAAAAAUACAUCAUUGCUUAUUGGAUUUACCCUUAAAAGCAGUUAAUUCUGUUAGAUUAAAAAAAAUAACGUAUGAAUUAUGUUCACGUUAUUUACCAUUGAUAUAAACGUGGCCAUUUUGAAAAUGGGUGAAUUUCGCAGUAUAAAUUCUCAAAAAUCUUAAAUGUUUACCUGUU